rnacentral:lncRNA from 1 species
UUCCUCUCUCAUGGUCCUGCAGCUCUGUGGAGCCCAGGCCUCAUGCCAGGUGGCCCAGGAGUUGCUGCAGAGUCUGCUGGGUAGCAUCAGCUGCCAUGUGCUGAGCCUGAAGCACCCAGGCAGUGCCAGGUUCCUGCUGGGUGUGGAGGGGCAGCACCUUUUGCAGGGUUUGGAGGCUCAGUUCCAGUGUGUCUUUGGGACAGAGCGUCUGGCCAGUGCCAACCUGGUCAUGGACCCUGAAGAGGUAGAGAUGAAGUUCUUCCCUAUCUCUCUCCUGUCUUACUCUCCAGCUCCAGGUACCCCCUCUCCCUUGCCCAAAGGCUAGUGACCCUGAUAUCCUUUCCCCACAGGUGGAUUCCACUGAGAUCCUUCAGGUCCUCCCUGGCCACAGCCAUACCUGGUGGCCCACAGAUAGUACAGGCAGUGACCAGGAGAACAUGAGCCUGGGUAGGGCUCCCUGGUAGGGGCCCCCAGCAUGUCCUGUGGUCCUUUUUUGACCCUGCUCUCUGCCUUGCUCUGAACUCUUACCUCUCUAGUGACCCUUCCCAGGCCCAUCCUCUACCCUCAAACUCACUCCAUCUUUCAUCCAUUCCAUCUCAUCCUGUUUUUCAAUACCAUCCUGGCUGGACCUGACUCAUGACCCAGUGUUCUCUCCCUACCCUCAGAGGAAGUCCGAGAGCUGCUGGCAACCAUGGAAGGCUUCGAUAGGGAGAACUGGUUGUCCCUGGAGCUGGGAGAGGAGGGACCUGAGGACCAGCCAGAAGAGGCAGCAACUUCAGGGAAGGAGGAUGAAGAACCCACACCUGGGGCUGGGGAGAAGCCUGUGAGCCUCAGCACUGGGGCAGCUGGGCAGCUAGAGGAGGAAGCUGCACUGCAACUGGCCCUCCAUCGGUCACUGGAGCCUCAAGACAAGGUUGCUGAGCAGGAGGAAGCUGCUGCACUAAGACAAGCCCUGGCCCUCUCCCUUUUGGAGCAACCCCUGUUGGAAGCAGAAGAGUCCCUGAAUGGAGGAACUGGUAGUGGGGCCCAGCUGGUGGUGCAUGCACCCUUUGAGCAGGAUAUAGAUGAGUUGGAACAAGCAUUAACAGCUGCCUUGGAGGUACACCUGAAUAAGGAGACUGUGAGACACCCAGGCCGUGUGCUGCCCACAGAGCUGUGUGCUCGCCUGGGGCAGUGCCAUGGUGUGAAUGUUGCCCUGCGUGGUGAUUGCACUGUCUUUUGUGGCUUUGGAGCCCAACCUGCCCGUGCGGCACGCCACUUCGCUGUGCUACUUGCUGGCCCCUGGGAUCAGAGUUUGGCCUUUCCCUUGGUGGCUUCAGACACUACUUGUGAGUCUGUGCUUUGGACUAGGAGAGGGCAGGUGGCUGACUAUUGGGCUAGUGUGUAAGCAUGGCCCUGAUGUCCUUUCUUUCUACAUAUCAGUGCUAGAACAGAGGCUGAAAAGGCCACUGGGAAAGCUGGAGGGCCUGGAAGAGAGCACCAAGGAAUUCCAAAAUGUGGUGAAGGCUUUCUAUGACACCCUGGAUACUGCCCACAGCAGAAUCCGCAUCAUACGGGUGAGUCUAUACUCUGUCUCACAGGUCUCGGUGAGACUUGCCUGCAUCAGAGUCUGCUGUCCAGGACCUGCUCAGCAGACAGGCUAGAGACUGAGGUAGGGACAGGAGAGCAC